UUGAGUUUGUUGGAGAAGAGAAAAAUGGCGAUGGCUAUGGAUCGGAUCGUCUUCUCCCCUUCAUCUUACGUCUAUCGUCCUUGUCAAGUUAGGGGAUCCAGAUCUUCCAGAGUUUCCAUGGCUUCUACGAUUCGCUCUGCUACUACGUGAGUUUUAAUCUCUUCAUUUCGAAUUCGUGGGCUUUCUUCGUUUAAUGCUUUGAAUUUGUCUUGAUCUGGAGUUUGCUUUGAGUAUCGAUGAUAAACCUCUGGCUUUGGUUGAUCCAGUUUCUUCUUUUCAUCAAUUUGGUUCCCAAUGCACUCUCACUAUGUGUAAUUACGAGAUACCUUAGUUUCUGCUUCGUUUAGAUCAAAGAAUCUUACUUUUUUCUCUGUCUCUUCAAUUUUUUUUUGAUCUGAAAAUCUAUCCUUACAUGCAAAGGACAAUCUUUGCUAAUCUCUUCUUCUUUCCCAAACGCAUGCAUGAAUUGUUUUGUGUUUUUGAAUUUCCUUUUACUUGGUUGUUGACCCAUAAGACAACUAUGCUAAAUAAUUUCUUAUUCAUUUAUUCUCUUGUUUGUUUAUUAUGUUAAGAAAGCUUAUUGGUGUUGUUCAGGAUUGUUGUGUAGUAGCUGCUUAGGUAAUUUCUAAAGCUUUAUUUGGUUUUGAUUACAGAGAGGUUACGAAUGGAAGGAAACUGUAUAUCCCUCCUAGAGAGGUGCAUGUCCAAGUGAAACAUUCAAUGCCGCCACAAAAGUUGGAGAUCUUCAAGUCUUUAGAAGGAUGGGCUGAUGAAACCCUGUUGACUUAUUUAAAACCUGUAGAGAAAUCGUGGCAGCCUACCGAUUUUCUUCCCGAACCUGAGUCAGAAGGAUUUUAUGACCAAGUCAAGGAGUUAAGGGAAAGGUGUAAGGAACUUCCUGAUGACUAUUUUGUGGUGCUUGUUGGGGAUAUGAUCACUGAAGAAGCACUUCCUACUUACCAGACGAUGUUGAACACAUUGGAUGGUGUUAGGGAUGAGACAGGAGCAAGUCCUACGCCAUGGGCUAUUUGGACCAGGGCUUGGACUGCUGAGGAGAAUAGACAUGGGGAUCUUCUUAACAAGUAUCUUUAUUUGUCUGGUCGAGUAGACAUGAGGCAGAUUGAAAAGACAAUUCAGUACCUGAUUGGGUCUGGAAUGGUAAGCUCUGCUAACUUUCUUUUUUGCUUUCACCCCUAAUCCCCUGAAGUUGCAUUUACUCUUUAGUAAAAAGUGACUGGGGUCGGAAUACAACCGUUGCCUGCUUAUUUAAAUUGACUGUAAAUUCAAUAGGUAGGGGAACAGAAGAGGAAUAAGUUGGAACCAUUUUUCAAUUUUUACUUACUUUUGUAAAUUAUCUUGUCAUUUCUUAGUAAGGCUUGAAUUGACUUCACAAUGAGAAUUUGCAUAUCUUCAUGCUAACAACAUACGCAUAGUUUAUGUUUCAAGUUCUGAAGAUAGAACUGAAGUGAUCCUCCUGCUUAGCUGCCACCUUAAACACUUUACGGUUUUUCAUUGUGUAUAGUUUUGUAUUCCUAAUAUUCAAUAUAUGAUUGAUCGAUCUGUUUUAUGUUCUUAGGAUCCAAAAACUGAAAAUAAUCCUUACUUGGGUUUCAUCUACACAUCCUUUCAAGAAAGAGCGACCUUCAUCUCCCAUGGAAACACUGCCAGACUGGCGAAAGAUCGUGGAGAUUUGAAACUUGCGCAGAUAUGUGGCACCAUUGCUGCUGAUGAGAGGCGUCAUGAGACUGCUUACACCAAGAUUGUGGAGAAGCUAUUUGAAAUUGACCCUGAUGGCACGAUCUUGGGCUUGGCUGAUAUGAUGA
rnacentral:lncRNA from 1 species